AGUUUGAUUCAAAUAAGAUUGGAACUGCUGAAAGCAGGGAUGUUUACACAUGGGUGAACGGCAGCACGGACUUCGGUCUGGGCGGCAGUGGCACGGGCUUGGAACGAUGUGUAUCGGAACGUGCCUAGUAGCGGGGGAUAACGCUGCGCGAAAGCGUAGCAGCUAAUCUCCAUCACGCCCUUCCCGGGGAAAGCAGGGGGACCUUCGGGCCUCGCACUAUUAGAGCGGCCGAUAUCGGAUUAGCUAGUUGGUGGGGUAACGGCUCACCAAGGCGACGAUCCGUAGCUGGUUUGAGGAAGGACGACCAGCCACACUGGGACUGAGACACGGCCCAGACUCCUACAGGAGGCAGCAGUGGGGAAUUUUGGACAAUGGGGAAACCCUGAAGAUCCAGCCAUCCGCGUGUGCGAUGAAGGCCUUCGGGUUGUAAAAAGCACUUUUGGCAGGAAAGAAACGGCGGGAUAAUACCCCGUGCAACUGACGAGUACCUGCAGAAUAAGCACCGGCUAACUACGUGCCAACAGCCGCGGUAAUACGUAAAAGUGCAAAGCGUUAAUCGGAAUUACUGGGCGUAAAGCGUGCGCAGGCGGUUCCGGAAAAGAUGUGAAAUCCAGAGCUUAACUUUGGAACUGCAUUUUUAACUGAGGCUUCAAGUGUGAUAGAGGAGGUAAAAUUCACGCCGUGUAGCUGGCAGUGAAAUGCGUAGAUAUGCGGAGGAACACCGAUGGCGAAGGCAGCCUCCUGGGGAUAACACUGACGCUCAUGCACAGCAUUAGGGAGCAAACUGGUUAUGAUCACCUGGUGAAGGUCGCCUGACCGAUAUUCAGCUAUUUAUUUGGGCCUUCCGGGCAGCGAUGGCCGCAACUAACGCGUCAGUUGACCGCCUGGGAAUGCAGUCGCAAGAUUAAAACUCGGGAAUUGACGGGGCCCGCACAAGCGGUGGAUGAUGUGGAUCAAUUCGAUGCAACGCGAAAAACCUUACCUACCCUUGACAUCAUCCAGAUCCCGAAGAGAUUUGGAGUGUCUCAAGAGAACCGGAACAGGUGCUGCAUGGCUGUCGUCAGCUCGUGUCGUGAGAUGUUGGGUUAAGUCCACCUUGAGCGCAACCCUUGUCAUUAGUUACACUUUACGAAAGACAUCUAAUGGACUGUAGGUGACAAACUGGAGGGAAGGUGGGGAUGACGCUAAGGUCAUAUGGCCUGUGGUGGGGCUUCACGUCAUGCAAUGGGUGGACCAGAGGUCGCUGGCGCUUCCGCGGGGGUAAUCCCGAGGAAGCGAUCUCGUGAUCCGGAUCAUGAUCUGCAACUCGACUGCGUGAAGUCCGGAAUCACUUCGUGGUAUCGCGCGGAUUAAUAUGUCGCGCGAUGGAGAAACCACGUUCCCGGGUCUGCUGCACACCGCCGUCACUGCUGUACGGGAGUGGGUUUACCAGUAAGUUAGCCUAACCGUAAGGAGGGCGAUUACCGGUAGGAUUCAUGACUGGGGUGAAGUCGUAACAAGUUUAACUCUGGCGGCUUACUGCCUGAACAACCA
rnacentral:rRNA from 1 species